UACGUAGGGGGCUAGCGUUGUCCGGAUUCAUUGGGCGUAAAGCGCGUGUAGGCGGCCAGGUAGGUCCGAUGUGAAAACUGGAGGCUCAACCUCCAGCUGUCAUUGGAAACCAUCUGGCUAGAGUCCGGAAGAGGAGAGUGGAAUUCCUGGUGUAGCGGUGAAAUGCGCAGAUAUCAGGAAGAACACCGAUGGCGAAGGCAGCUCUCUGGGACGGUACUGACGCUGAGACGCGAAAGCGUGGGGAGCGAACAGGAUUAGAUACCCUGGUAGUCCACGCCGUAAACGAUGGGCGCUAGGUGUGGGCGGUGUCGACUCCGUCCGUGCCGAAGCUAACGCAUUAAGCGCCCCGCCUGGGGAGUACGGCCGCAAGGCUAAA
rnacentral:rRNA from 1 species